rnacentral:rRNA from 1 species
GAUCCUGGCUCAGAUUGAACGCUGGCGGCGUGCUUAACACAUGCAAGUCGCGCGUGAAAGGACUUCGGUCCGAGUAAAGCGGCGCACGGGUGAGUAACGCGUGGAUGAUCUACCCAUGAGUUAGGAAUAACGGCUGGAAACGGUCGCUAAUACCAAAUACGCUCCGAUUUCAACUUCGGGGGAAAGGUGGCCUCUGCUUGCAAGCUACUGCUCAUGGAUGAGUCCGCGUCCCAUUAGCUAGUUGGUGGGGUAACGGCCCACCAAGGCGACGAUGGGUAGCCGGUCUGAGAGGAUGACCGGCCACACUGGGACUGGAACACGGCCCAGACUCCUACGGGAGGCAGCAGUGGGGAAUAUUGCGCAAUGGGCGAAAGCCUGACGCAGCGACGCCGCGUGAGGGAUGAAGGUCCUCGGAUCGUAAACCUCUGUCAGGAGGGAAGAACCGCCACGGUGCUAAUCAGCCGUGGUCUGACGGUACCUCCAAAGGAAGCACCGGCUAACUCCGUGCCAGCAGCCGC